rnacentral:rRNA from 1 species
GACGAACUGUCCUAACGUUGUUCGGAAUCACUGGGCUUAAAGGGCGCGUAGGCGGUCGGACAAGUCAGGGGUGAAAUCUCCGGGCUUAACUCGGAAAGGUCAACUGAUACUGUGCGACUAGAGUGCAGAAGGGGCAACUGGAAUUCUCGGUGUAGCGGUGAAAUGCGUAGAUAUCGAGAGGAACACCUGCGGCGAAGGCGGGUUGCUGGGCUGACACUGACGCUGAUGCGCGAAAGCCAGGGGAGCGAACGGG